GGAAGGCCGGCAAAGGCAAUGUUAUGCUCUGCACAAUGUUCUGCUGAGAAAUCUUGGAUCCUGGCAUUCAUGUGGUUUUACUUUGACACGUACCACCUACUUAGAGAUUGUUGUGGACUAUUUGCACCCCUUUAUGGCAAUGGUGUUCCUUGAUAGCAGUGGCCUUUUGUAGCGGGGUAAUGCACCAUGCCACACUGCAAAAAUGUUCACGAAUGGUUUGAGGUACAUGAUGCCUUGGACUCUACAUUCC